rnacentral:rRNA from 1 species
AACGAACGCUGGCGGCAUGCCUAACACAUGCAAGUCGAACGAGACCUUCGGGUCUAGUGGCGCACGGGUGCGUAACGCGUGGGAACCUGCCCUUAGGUUCGGAAUACCUCCCCGAAAGGGGUGCUAAUACCGGAUAAUGUCUUCGGACCAAAGAUUUAUCGCCUUUGGAUGGGCCCGCGUUGGAUUAGCUAGUUGGUAGGGUAAAAGCCUACCAAGGCGACGAUCCAUAGCUGGUCUGAGUGGAUGAUCAGCAACACUGGGACUGGGACACGGCCCAGACUCCUAGGGGAGGCAGCAGGGGGGAAGAUUGGACGAUGGGCGAAAGCCUGAUCCAGCAAUGCCGCGUGAGUGAUGAAGGCGUUAGGGUUGUAAAGCUCUGUUACCCGGGAUGAUAAUGACAGUACCGGGAGAAUAAGCUCCGGCUAACUCCGU